rnacentral:rRNA from 1 species
GGAGGGUGCAAGCGUUGUUCGGAAUUAUUGGGCGUAAAGAGCGUGUAGGCGGUCCGGUAAGUCAGAUGUGAAAGCCCUGGGCUCAACCCAGGAAGUGCAUUUGAAACUACCAGACUUGAGUACGGGAGAGGAGGGGGGAAUUCCCGGUGUAGAGGUGAAAUUCGUAGAUAUCGGGAGGAAUACCAGUGGCGAAGGCGCCCCUCUGGACCGAUACUGACGCUGAGACGCGAAAGCGUGGGGAGCAAACAGGAUUAGAUACCCUGGGUAGUCCACGCCGUAAACGAUGAGCACUAGGUGUAGCGGGUAUUGACCCCCCUGCUGUGCCGUAGCUAACGCAUUAAGUGCUCCGCCUGGGGGACUACGGUCGCAAGCUA